rnacentral:rRNA from 1 species
CAGUCGCCGCGGGAGUACAGAGGGUGCAAGCGUUAAUCGGAAUUACUGGGCGUAAAGCGCGCGUAGGUGGUUUGUUAAGUUGGAUGUGAAAGCCCCGGGCUCAACCUGGGAACUGCAUCCAAAACUGGCAAGCUAGAGUACGGUAGAGGGUGGUGGAAUUUCCUGUGUAGCGGUGAAAUGCGUAGAUAUAGGAAGGAACACCAGUGGCGAAGGCGACCACCUGGACUGAUACUGACACUGAGGUGCGAAAGCGUGGGGAGCAAACAGGAUUAGAUACCCCCGUAGUCCCUGUCUCUUAUAC